AAGAUACUGGUAUAAAAGAAAAUACACCGCUUUGUCAAGGCGGAGUUGUGGGUUAAAUACCCACGUAUUUUA
rnacentral:tRNA from 1 species